GCGCAACUCAUUGCCGGGACAAAAAAAUGCAACCACUUUGUUGAACGGAACUGGCCAAUAGUGCCCUUGACUCGGACUGAUGACGCAAGCAGACGUAAGGAAGGCGCAGCUCGCCCGCGCACCGGCUACUCCCCAGGAAACGUGUGGAGCCAGUGAAAGGAAGAAAAACAAUGGAAGGAAGGCUUGAAAAGUCCAUUACAAAACUACAGUCCUUUGAAAAAGGUUUCAAAGAUAUUAAAAUGAAAACUGAUUACCUUAAACAAUAA